rnacentral:sRNA from 1 species
GCGAUACCUGCCAGAUAUCAUGUGUUUCCUACUAGGCAUCAGGAGCCGGUCACCGAGACGUUGUCACUGCUAGCCUUGUCCUCCACAUCGAGCCCGUCCUCCACUGUCUAAGCCCCAUGCUGGGGCUCGAUGCCGGCGACCGCGUCCUCUGUUGUCACGCCCCACGCCAGGGCUGGUCGCCGGUGGCUGCGUCUUCCCACGCCCCACGCCGAGGCUCGUUAGUCCCAUGCCGGAACUCAUCACCCGUGGUGCUGCAUAUCUUCUCCGGUGAUGUGCUCCCCGACGAAGCAGUGAGGCGAGGCAGCGGGGGCCUUCUCCAGUGAGCUCCCUUCUCUCCCUUCUUCCUCCGCUGCCGCAUGCCCGAUGCCAGUGCUGCUCCGUUGCCGCAUGCCUGCGCUGCUCCGUUGCCGCAUGCCUACGCUUGUGCUCUAGGGAAUGAGGGAGACGAUACCGUCGCGGGUGCUAGGCGCGGGAUACCAGUAUCUAGCUUUUCCAAAUUGCUAAUCUGAAAAUACUAUAGAACAG